GGGAAGGAUCUUUUCUGGAGAUUCAUUCCACUGGAGUUUCUUAUGUGAGCCCUGGAUAGGUGGCCAUAGAGAAAAUCAAAAUUCAGAGAAUGAAAACAUUUUUUGCUUGUAAUGUAUUUAAAGGAAGAUUAAAAAGAUAUUUUGAUGAGAACCUGGGGAUAAAGUUAUCUUACUUCAGUUGCCUUUGGAGAUGAUUACAUACUUAUGCAUAAAUUAAAUAUCUUGGUGCACUGAGAACAGGUGUUUGAACAAAGCUUCUUACUCAUCUAACACAAUUAAGGUUGGCCUGAACUUCUUCAUCUCGCAGCAUGCAGUGCAAGAGAAUAAAGCACUUUGAGGAAUGAUAAUCUCUCUCAGUGGUUAGGAAGCAGAGCUUGGGUUUACCAGAAUACAGAAGUUAUCUUUUGGACAAAAGAGAGUAAGAACAUUAUUCCACAUCCUUGAUUUUGUCUUCUCAUAGGUUUUAGGCUUUAAAGAACUGAAC